UCCGGCAUGGUGUAGUGGCUAGCAUUUCCGCCUCUCAUUCGAUGUUCUUUCUUUCUUCGUGAAUAGAGCAGCAGAAAGGUCGCGGGAGACCGGGGUUCAAUUCCCCGUACCGGAA